ACUUUCUCUCUCUCUCUCAUUCUCUUCUCUCCCUCUCUUAAUUUCUCUCCCAAUCUUCAUCUAUUUUAGAAUCUGAUCAUACCACGCUGUAGUAGAGGAGUUAAGGAACAUUUCUACCCGAUCAGAUUUUCAAACAGAGUAAGUUCAUUUUUACUCUAAAUAUCCUUUGUUAUCUGUUUUUCCUUAGGAUUUAGUCAUCAAUCUUUGUGGGGUCAGUUGAGAAGUUUAAUCCUCUCAACUUCUUCUAUUAUAUACUGAAAUUUUGUUCUGUUUGGAUAAUUUGCAUUAGGCCCGUAAACCUUGAAGCUUAUCCAAACGGUGGGGAAUAAAAUUCUAAAAGUUGCUUGGAAAGCAAGCAAUUGAGGUAAGGGAAGCUAAAUUUAAUUUUUAAUAGCACCCUAGGAUAGAAGAUCUGAAUGCGGAAGGGACGUGGUCCCAAUAUUGAAUUUCUCUUACAGGGGUGUUAUUUGUUUAUAUAUUGUGUGUUUGUUUAUAUAUUAUUUAAAUUUGUGGAAAUAUUGGGUUUUGAUGAUUUAGUAUUAAAGUGUAUUUUUUUUAUGUCAAAUAAAAUUUUGAAUAUUGUGGAUAACUUUUGAAAUAAUAUUGUAUGACGAAAUGGUAUGAAAUUGAAUUCAUACAUUUGGGAUAAUGUAUGGACUGAUGCUUGUUGUGUAUUAAGUAUUGAUGCCUAUGUGGUAACAGAGAUCUCCGAGCUUCACUGAUGAUCUAAGUCACAUAGACUAAGAUAUCAGGUGGUGAGAAGCUGAUGGGGGAGUUCAUG
rnacentral:lncRNA from 1 species